AUUGAACGCUGGCGGCAUGCUUUACACAUGCAAGUCGAACGGUAACAGGCCGCAAGGUGCUGACGAGUGGCGAACGGGUGAGUAAUGCAUCGGAACGUUCCCAGUCGUGGGGGAUAACUACUCGAAAGAGUAGCUAAUACCGCAUACGAUCUAUGGAUUAAAGCGGGGGACCGUAAGGCCUCGCGCGAUUGGGGCGGCCGAUGUCAGAUUAGGUAGUUGGUGGGGUAAAGGCUCACCAAGCCAACGAUCUGUAGCUGGUCUGAGAGGACGACCAGCCACACUGGGACUGAGACACGGCCCAGACUCCUACGGGAGGCAGCAGUGGGGAAUUUUGGACAAUGGGCGCAAGCCUGAUCCAGCAAUGCCGCGUGCAGGAAGAAGGCCUUCGGGUUGUAAACUGCUUUUGUACGGAACGAAACGGCUCUGGUUAAUACCCGGGGCUAAUGACGGUACCGUAAGAAUAAGCACCGGCUAACUACGUG
rnacentral:rRNA from 1 species